AUUGAACGCUGGCGGCAGGCCUAACACAUGCAAGUCGAACGAGUGGCGGACGGGUGAGUAAUGUCUGGGAAACUGCCCGAUGGAGGGGGAUAACUACUGGAAACGGUAGCUAAUACCGCAUACCAUCGGAUGUGCCCAGAUGGGAUUAGCUUGUAGGUGAGGUAACGGCUCACCUAGGCGACGAUCCCUAGCUGGUCUGAGAGGAUGAACAGCCAGACGUGAACUGAGGCACGGUCCAGACUACUACGGGAGGCAGCAGUGGGGAAUAUUGAACAAGGGGCGCAAGCCUGAUGCAGCCAUGCCGCGUGUAUGAAGAAGGACUUCGGGUUGUAAAGUAAUUUCAGCGGGGAGGCGUUACCCGCAGAAGAAGCACCUGCUAACUCCGUGCCAGCAGCCGCGGUAAUUC
rnacentral:rRNA from 1 species